GGGCCCGUAGCUCAGAUGGCCAGAGCGCUUCGUUGACGUCGAAGAGGUCGCAGGUUCAAAUCCUGCCGGGCCCA
rnacentral:tRNA from 1 species